rnacentral:lncRNA from 1 species
UCUAAUGCGAUUAAUCAGGAGAUUUUUACUAUUUCCUUAAAAGAACUAAAGUUGGGAUUGGUAAAUUUAGUCACGAAAACCAAGAAUAGGAAAAUGGACUAGUAAUUAGAGAUGUUCUAUAGUUGGCUUGAGAUAUAUAUGCAGUUGUGGACAACUUAUUGCAUGCUCUAGAAAACUAGCAAAUUAAGUUGAGGGAAUAGAUUAAUCUAAUAGUACAGAAUACAUCAUCUUAUAAUCUAAAAGUAAAUAUUAAAAUGCGAUAAAUUAUAGAGUAUCCCACUAAUUUUAUAUAUGAGUAUAUAAUAUGACAAAUUAAUUAUAACAUGAAAUCUAAAUAACAAAAAUAAAAAUUAUUUUGAACACAUAAAUAAACUAAAUUUAUGUGUAUAAUUUACAUUGGUUUAACAUAUCCUCUAGGUAAUCCUAGUAUAACAAAUAUAUUGCAUGACUAUCUCCAAAACCACACUAUCAUUAAGAUAAUCAUGACUUAUAUAAUAAUUUAAAAUUUGAUUUUAAUAUAAUAAUAAUAAUUAUUAGUUAUAUGUAUCACCUCAAUUUAAUGAAGUGUUAAGUGUUAUAUAAGCUGCCUAGUUGAUAUGUAAUGUUGUUGGAAUAGAGAGAAAAACGUUAGCUUGCUAAAAGGACAACGAGGAAAGGUGGACAAACUAGUAAUUGUCAUGCAACUAUAUAAAAGUUAGUCAUACAUAUAUGCAACCGAAAAAAGUCAUAAAAGAUAUCCAACCAACACAAACUAGAAGUCCCUAUCUAACCAUAAGAAGAAACAGAAAAAAAAAAAAAAGAAAAGAAAAGAAAAGAAAAGAAAAAGAACUAGGACCCGCAAAUACAUAGGUGGAAAUGCUAAUCUCGUAUGAGAUAGUAAAGUUUUUUGACAGAUUAUAAUUUCUUAUAUAUAUAUAUAUAUAUUCAAUUUUUUUCAAAAAAAAAAAAUUUGUUCUUGUAAUUUAAGGCAUAAAUGUAAUAAAAUCCAUAAAAAUAAAUAACGAAAAUGCUCAUCUAAUUACACUUAUUUACAAUUGAUGGAGAAGGAAAAAAAAAAACCUUAUAAAAAUUUGAAUUUUUUCAGAGAUUAAGUAAAACAAAAUAAAUACAUAUGUAUAGCUAGGCCUGUUUUGAAAUAGAAUUACAACUUCAAUUGUUUUCUGCUGGUCUUGUCAGUUGUCAGGUAAAUUUAAGUGGAAAGGAAUAUCAAUCGGGCUAUAUACAUACGCAGUUGUAGCCAAUAGGGCUCUCCCAGUACAGCGCAUUGGCUUGUUUUUCUUGAAUAUGCAUAUGGUUACACACAAUGCAGCCCUAUUAGGCCUUCAACUUUCACACGAACAUUUAACUAAUUGAAGAAAAAAAAUAAUAAAUUAAAUAAACCUGAUGAAGUUAAUAUUAUUCAAUAAGUUUAGUUUUUACCCAUCUAACAAAUUAUCAAACAAAGUUGAUCUUACCUUCAUGUUAAGGUAUAGAACAUAAGAGAACUGCUAGCUCCUUCAAAUAUCUUCCUUUAAUAAAAUGUAGUUUGAUUUUCUUCUUCUUCACAUGGAGUCAUGCUUUCAUUCUAAGCAAACAUUUUCGUGUAAUUAAGGGUAUAUCUAAAGAAAAAUAACAAAUAGUUGAUAACAGAAACCAUAGUGAGAUUAUAUAU